AUGUCUCCAUUUUUGAUAUGUGGAGAAGUUAAAGGAAUUGAAUCCAUGGAAAUAUUCUCCAAGUCUUCUCGUGAAGAAGAAGAUGAAGAAGCUCUCAAAUGGGCUGCUAUUGAGAGAUUGCCAACUUACUUACGCAUAAGGAGAGGUAUACUCGCCAACCAAGACCAGGGCAUAGCCAGAGAAAUUGAUGUCAAGGAUUUAGGACUACUAGAAAGGAGGAAUUUGCUGGAGAGGCUGGUGAAGAUUGCAGAUGAAGAUAAUGAGAAGUUCUUGUUCAAGCUCAAGGAUCGCAUGGAUAGAGUUGGACUUGAUUUUCCAACAACUGAGGUGCGGUUUGAGCAUUUAAGUGUCGAAGCAGAAGCUUAUGUAGGAAGUAGGGCAUUACCUACAAUACUCAACUUCUCCAUUAACAUCUUAGAGGGGUUCUUGAAUUACCUUCAUGUUCUUCCGAGUAGAAAGAAACGAUUGCCCAUCCUCCAUGGUGUUAGUGGAAUUAUCAAGCCAAGAAGAAUGACAUUGCUUUUAGGCCCUCCAAGCUCUGGAAAGACUACAUUCCUUCUGGCUUUGGCUGGAAAACUCGGUAAAGAUCUGAAAAUUUCGGGGAGAGUUGCUUACAAUGGAGAGGGGAUGGAAGAGUUUGUACCAGAGUAUUAGUCAACAUGAUCUUCACAUACCGGAGAUGACGGUGAGAGAAACUCUGGCUUUUUCAGCAAGAUGUCAAGGAGUUGGACCACGUUAUGAAAUGUUGGUAGAAUUAUCAAGGAGAGAAAAGACUGCAAAUAUAAUGCCGGAUCCUGAUCUUGAUGUUUACAUGAAGGCAGCUGCACUUGAAGGACAUGAAACCAAUGUAAUUACAGAUUAUAUACUGAAGGUUUUGGGGCUUGAAGUUUGUGCCGACACUAUAGUAGGGGAUCAAAUGAGACGAGGUAUCUCCGGGGGUCAAAGAAAGCGACUCACCACAGGGGAGAUGCUGGUUGGGCCAGCAAGAGCACUUUUCAUGGAUGAGAUAUCAACCGGCUUGGACAGUUCAACAACAUUUCAGAUAGUGAAAUCACUUAGACAAUCCAUCCACAUUCUCAAUGAAACUGCUGUCAUCUCUCUCCUGCAGCCAGCGCCAGAAACUUAUGAUCUCUUUGAUGAUAUAAUUUUACUCUCAGAUGGGCACAUUGUGUAUCAAGGUCCCCGGUGCAAUGUGCUUGAGUUCUUUGAGUACAUGGGAUUUAAAUGUCCAGAGAGAAAAGGAGUUGCGGAUUUCCUACAAGAAGUAACCUCGAGGAAAGAUCAAGAACAAUACUGGGCUCAUAAUGACAAGCCUUAUAGCUUUCUAACUUCCAAGGACUUUGCUGAAGCCUUGCAGUCAUUUUACAUUGGUCGAGAACUUGGUGAUGAGCUUUCUAUUCCGUUUGAUAAGUCUAAAGGCCACCCUGCAGCUUUAACAACUAAGAAGUAUGGUGUCAGCAAGAAGGAAUUAUUCAAAGCUUGUAUGUCUAGGCAAAUUUUGCUUAUGAAGAGGAAUUCAUUUAUCCAUAUUUUCAAAAUUUCACAGAUGAUUCUAAUGUCUUGUGUUACAAUAACAUUGUUCCUACGAACUGAGAUGCACCGGGAUUCUGUUGAAGAUGGUGUCAUAUACAUGGGAGCAUUGUUUUACACAAUGAUGAUAAUUAUGUUCAAUGGGUUCUCAGAGCUUGCCAUGACUGUCAUGAAGCUUCCUGUGUUUUUCAAGCAAAGGGACCUUCUCUUCUAUCCUGCUUGGGCAUACUCUUUGCCCACAUGGCUGAUAAGGAUCCCUAUGACUUUUGUGGAAGUUUCUAUUUGGGUGACCAUUACGUACUACACUAUAGGUUUUGAUCCAAACAUUGAAAGGUUCUUCAAACAGUUCCUUUCACUGCUGCUUAUUAGCCAAAUGGCAACUGGCCUGUUCCGACUGAUAGGCGCAUUAGGAAGAAACAUGAUUGUUGCGAACACAUUUGGAUCUGUUGCUUUGCUUGUGCUGUUUGUUCUUGGUGGAUUCAUCUUAUCACGAGAGGAUAUGAAAAGCUGGUUGGUGUGGGGAUAUUAUCUGUCUCCAAUGUCGUAUGGACUGAAUGCCCUAGCUGUCAAUGAAUUUCUUGGAAAAAGUUGGAGACAUUCUCCUACCAACUCAACUGAACUUUUAGGAGUAAUAGUCUUGAAAUCACGAGGGGUUUUCCCAGAAGCACGAUGGUACUGGAUUGGAGUAGUAGCUUUAUUUGGAUUUAUUCUUCUAUUCAACCUCCUUUUCAUUCUGGCACUUCAUUAUCUUGAACCUCUUGAUAAGCCUCAGGCAGUACUCUCCAAAGAGGCCUUGGCAAAGAAACAAGCCACCGAAACUGGAGAAGCCAUUGAAUUAGUUUCAACACAAAAGAUUGAAUCAAGUAUAUGUAAUGGCUAUGAUGUAUCAAAUAUCAAUGCAGGUGCAGCUAAUGAAAGACUAGACAAUGUGUCAGUCAAUCUGACCAGCCAGCGAGGAAUGGUUCUUCCUUUUGAACCCCUCUCAAUUACAUUUGACGAAAUCAGAUAUGCAGUUGACAUGCCAGUGGAAAUGAAAGGUCAAGGUGUAACACAGGAUCGGUUAGAACUUCUGAAGGGUGUAAGUGGUGCUUUUAGGCCUGGAGUCCUAACAGCUCUAAUGGGGGUCAGUGGCGCUGGAAAGACUACUCUAAUGGAUGUCUUGGCAGGAAGGAAAACUGGUGGAUAUAUUGAAGGAAACAUUACCAUUUCUGGCUAUCCGAAAAAGCAAGAAACAUUUGCUCGUAUAUCCGGAUAUUGUGAGCAAACAGAUAUACACUCUCCACAUGUUACAGUUUAUGAGUCUUUGGUUUAUUCUGCUUGGCUCCGGUUGCCCCCUGGGGAUGAUUCCCCCACCAGAAAGAUGUUUAUUAAGGAAGUCAUGGAUCUUGUGGAACUGACCCCACUAAGGGAUGCACUUGUUGGAUUGCCAGGAGUGAAUGGUCUUUCAACUGAGCAGCGCAAAAGGCUAACAAUUGCAGUAGAGCUUGUUGCCAAUCCAUCCAUAAUAUUCAUGGAUGAGCCAACCUCUGGUCUUGAUGCCAGGGCAGCAGCAAUUGUAAUGAGAACUGUGAGGAAUACAGUGAACACCGGGAGAACUGUAGUCUGCACCAUCCACCAGCCAAGCAUUGAUAUAUUUGAUGCUUUUGAUGAGAUGCUACUUUUAAAAUGGGGAGGGGAAGAAAUAUAUGUUGGUCCUUUAGGCUACCAGUCUUCCCAGUUGAUCGAAUACUUUGAGGGGAUUAGUGGAGUUCCUAAAAUGAAGGAUGGUUACAACCCUGCUACUUGGAUGUUAGAGGUCACUUCUGCAGCACAAGAAGCAAAUCUUGGGGUCAAUUUCACCGACAUAUACAAGAACUCAGAAAUGUACAGGAGAAACAAGGAAUUGAUCAAGGAACUAAGUACUCCACCAGAAAAUUCAGUAGACUUACACUUCACAACACAGUAUUCUCAAUCCUUCUUUACCCAGUGCAAUACUUGCCUAUGGAAACAGCACCUGUCUUACUGGCGAAAUCCCCCAUACAGUGCAGCGAGACUUAUUUACACAACAAUGAUGGCUAUAGUAUUUGGUAUAUUAUUCUUGGGUCUUGGCUCCAAAAGGCAAAAGCAACAAGAUCUUUUCAAUGUAUUAGGCUCUAUGUAUUCUGCCAUUCUCUUCAUUGGGAUACAAAAUGCCUCAUCGGUGCAGCCGGUUAUAGCUAUUGAGAGGAUAGUCUUUUACAGAGAAAGGGCAGCUGGAAUGUACUCUGCUUUUCCAUAUGCAUUUGGACAGGUUGUCAUUGAGAUCCCAUACACUUUGAUCCAAACCAUUUUAUACGUGGUUAUUGUAUACACGAUGAUCGGAUAUGAUUGGACGGUCAGCAAGUUCUUCUGGUAUUUUUUCUUCAUGUUUUUCAGCUUCUUAUACUACACCUUAUAUGGUAUGAUGAUUGUGGCAAUUACUCCCAACACUAUGGUCGCUGCUGUGCUUUCCUCAUCAUUCUACCCGUUAUGGAACGUCUUUUCUGGGUUUAUCAUUCCGAAAACAAGAAUUCCAAUAUGGUGGAGAUGGUUCUAUUGGUUGUGCCCGAUUUCGUGGACCUUAUACGGAUUGAUUGUUUCACAGUUUGGAGACAUUAAGGACACACUUGAAUCUGGCCAAACUGUGGAGAAGUUUAUUAGGGAUUAUUUUGGGUAUAGAAAAGACUUUUUAGGUGUUGUUGCAAUUGUCCAUGUCGGGGUUACAUUGCUCUUUGGUUUCAUCUUUGCCUUUUCAAUCAAAGCCUUUAAUUUCCAAAGGAGAUGAUGAUCGAGGACAUUGAGAAUGCUAUAUAUACCUCUUAUGAACACAGAGCAAAUUGCCUUGUGGUGUUGCAAGUUUUGAUCCUAGUUUGAUCAUAGUGAGGCACAUACAGCAAAUAUGAAUGUACACAAGUUAAAAUCCAGUCUAGCUGGAUGAGGCAACAUUAGCUCUAGCUUCUCAAGUAGGGACUAUCAUUGUGUCCCCAACAAAAACCGCAAGAUUGGUAGGCCAAAAGGUAGCAAGAAUCGUCCGAAGGCGAUUGGUAUAUGGCUUCAGAGCCAGUCACAUGAAGAGUAGCAGCUCCAACAAAAGGAUUGCCAACCGGCUAUAGUAUUUGGUAUAUUAUUCUUGGGUCUUGGC